AGUGUGCCCAUUUUUUUUCUCCCAAAGGUAAACUUAAACUCAAAUUUUUUGGACAAAUCGUCAGUGCUUUUUCAAGAUACCCGUCCAGUUUCCAGCCAGAACCCAAGCUGAUUGUACAAACAAAAAUGGAAAUGGGGUAAUCAUGAAAUAAUAUGUCUGAUAUCUCAACUUCGCCUGUUCUCGACCUAAAUGUUCGUCUCAAACGUACAGAAUUCCCUCUGACCGAAUUGGUAACAUUGUUGUGUCAAGCAGCUGACAGUGGUAAGUAAAGUCACGAGUUCAAUACCCG
rnacentral:sRNA from 1 species